rnacentral:rRNA from 1 species
UACGUAGGGUGCAAGCGUUAAUCGGAAUUACUGGGCGUAAAGCGUGCGCAGGCGGUUUUGUAAGCCAGAUGUGAAAGCCCCGGGCUUAACCUGGGAACUGCGCUUGUGACUGCACGGCUAGAGUACGGCAGAGGGGGGUGGAAUUCCGCGUGUAGCAGUGAAAUGCGUAGAUAUGCGGAGGAACACCGAUGGCGAAGGCAGUCCCCUGGGAUAAGACUGACGCUCAUGCACGAAAGCGUGGGGAGCAAACAGGAUUAGAAACCCCGGUAGU